GGAAGGUGCAAGCGUUAAUCGGAAUUACUGGGCGUAAAGAGCGCGUAGGCGGCUAGAUAAGUCGGGUGUGAAAGCCCUGGGCUCAACCUGGGAACUGCAUUCGAUACUGUCUAGCUAGAGUGUGGUAGAGGGAGGCGGAAUUCCGCAUGUAGCGGUGAAAUGCGUAGAGAUGCGGAGGAACACCAAUGGCGAAGGCAGCCUCCUGGACCAACACUGACGCUGAGGCGCGAAAGCGUGGGGGGAGCAAACAGGAUUAGAUACCCUGGUAGUCCACGCCCGUAAACGAUGUCAACUAGCCGUUGGGAGCAUUUUGGCUCUUGGUGGCGUAGCUAACGCGAUAAGUUGACCCGCCUGGGAGUACGGUCGCAAGAUUA
rnacentral:rRNA from 1 species